rnacentral:lncRNA from 1 species
UGGGUGCUGAGCUCUGCCCAGGGGGCUGGGGCUCCCUCAGUGACUGCAGGGCAAAUUCCCUUUAAUCCAGGGAAUUAAACCCCAAGCAAAGCCAUUGAUGGCCAUGGCUUUAGCUGAGAUCCAGGCCAAAUCCUGUUUCCAUUGAAGCUAAAUGGGAGCUUUAGCUGCUGGUUUCAGAGGGAUCAGGGCUAGGACCUGCUGCCAGGUGUUGAGCACAUCUGCCCUACUGACCUCAGCAGGAUGGGCUGCCCUGCCCAGGGAUGGGUUCUGGCUUCCUGUGUGCUGCAAUGAUCUCAGAGUACUUAGGGUGGCAGUGGGCACUCAAGCUGUGCUUUGCUUUCCCUGUACAGGUCCUGGCACCAGAACAACCGUGACAGGUUGACAAGAUCCUGACAACCUUGCUCCAUUUGAGCCAUUACCCGGCACCAGCUGCUGAUUCCUCAUUUGCCUUCUCAAAACCAUCUCCUGAUAUGGAAACAGCUCAUCACUGCCUGUAACCAGCAGGAACACCAGAUCCUGCAGCAUCUGUUUUGGACAUCAAGAUGGGAGACCCCAAAAUCCUCAGCACAAGAGAAAGAGGUACAGAGAGAGAAUGGAGCAAGGCAGGUCCCAGAGCCCUGGUUGUGCUGCCUGGUGUGUCCCAGCAGUGUCAGCUGCCUUGGAGCAGCACCUCAGCUACUUCUCCUGCUCUCUGAAGACUUGUGUGAAAUGACCAAGAUACAAAGGGCCAGGGCUGCUCCUGGAAGAGGAAAAGCCUAUUGGUGUUGCCUGAAUGAAGGGGCUGAGUCUCUGCAUUCAUAUCCUGGGAAAGCAGUUGAGAUUGAUCCUGGUUUGGUCACCCACUGAUGAGCUAAUUUUAACACCAACCAUGAACAUCUCACCGCUGGAAUUGCCGUGUGCCCGCUUGUGUGAGAGAGCAAAUCACUCCAGCAGUAGCGUGGAUCGUUCUUCUGCACCCAUUGUUAUGGAAAUCACCUUAGAGACUGUUGCUCCAGCAAACAUUUUUAGAAGCACCAGUGAGUUGCGCAACAGGAAAAGUGCUCGGAGGUGA